GGGCUAAAGUAAGUACCGAAGCUGUAGACUUGCGCACAACUUAGAUUAUUUAAGUUUAGAAUAUGAGAAACUAAGUUAUAUUUUUACUGAUUUUUAUAGAGUAAAGAUAGAAAUAAAACUUAGUAAAAUCAGUAAAAAUAUUCUUAGGCUAAAGUUAAGUAGUUUAAGUUGUGUGCAAGUGGUAGGAGAGCGUUCUAUUUGCGUCGAAGGUAUACCGGUAAGGAGUGCUGGAGCGAAUAGAAGUGAGCAUGCAGGCAUGAGUAGCGAUAAUUAAUGUGAGAAUCAUUAACGCCGUAAACCCAAGGUUUCCUACGCGAUGCUCGUCAUCGUAGGGUUAGUCGGGUCCUAAGUCGAGUCCGAAAGGGGUAGACGAUGGCAAAUUGGUUAAUAUUCCAAUACCAACAUUAGUGUGCGAUGGAAGGACGCUUAGGGCUAAGGGGGCUAGCGGAUGGAAGUGCUAGUCUAAGGUCGUAGGAGGUUAUACAGGCAAAUCCGUAUAACAAUACUCCGAGAACUGAAAGGCUUUUUGAAGUCUUCGGAUGGAUAGAAGAACCCCUGAUGCCGUCGAGCCAAGAAAAGUUUCUAAGUUUAGCUAAUGUUGCCCGUACCGUAAACCGACACAGGUGGGUGGGAUGAGUAUUCUAAGGCGCGUGGAAGAACUCUCUUUAAGGAACUCUGCAAAAUAGCACCGUAUCUUCGGUAUAAGGUGUGGUUAGCUUCGUACUAGGAUUUACUCCGAAAGCGAAGAAACUUACAACAAAGAGUCCCUCCCGACUGUUUACCAAAAACACAGCACUCUGCUAACUCGUAAGAGGAUGUAUAGGGUGUGACGCCUGCCCGGUGCUCGAAGGUUAAUUGAUGGGGUUAGCAUUAGCGAAGCUCUUGAUCGAAGCCCGAGUAAACGGCGGCCGUAACUAUAACGGUCCUAAGGUAGCGAAAUUCCUUGUCGGUUAAAUACCGACCUGCAUGAAUGGCGUAACGAGAUGGGAGCUGUCUCAAAGAGGGAUCCAGUGAAAUUGUAGUGGAGGUGAAAAUUCCUCCUACCCGCGGCAAGACGGAAAGACCCCGUGGACCUUUACUACAGCUUGACACUGCUAUUUGGAUAAGAAUGUGCAGGAUAGGUGGGAGGCUUUGAGUAUAUGACGCCAGUUGUAUAGGAGCCAUUGUUGAGAUACCACUCUUUCUUAUUUGGGUAGCUAACCAGCUUGAGUUAUCCUCAAGUGGGACAAUGUCUGGUGGGUAGUUUGACUGGGGCGGUCGCCUCCCAAAUAAUAACGGAGGCUUACAAAGGUUGGCUCAGAACGGUUGGAAAUCGUUCAUAGAGUAUAAAGGUAUAAGCCAGCUUAACUGCAAGACAUACAAGUCAAGCAGAGACGAAAGUCGGUCUUAGUGAUCCGGUGGUUCUGUGUGGAAGGGCCAUCGCUCAAAGGAUAAAAGGUACCCCGGGGAUAACAGGCUGAUCUCCCCCAAGAGCUCACAUCGACGGGGAGGUUUGGCACCUCGAUGUCGGCUCAUCGCAUCCUGGGGCUGGAGCAGGUCCCAAGGGUAUGGCUGUUCGCCAUUUAAAGCGGUACGCGAGCUGGGUUCAGAACGUCGUGAGACAGUUCGGUCCCUAUCUGCCGUGGGCGUAAGAAGAUUGAAGAGAUUUGACCCUAGUACGAGAGGACCGGGUUGAACAAACCACUGGUGUAGCUGUUGUUCUGCCAAGAGCAUCGCAGCGUAGCUAAGUUUGGAAAGGAUAAACGCUGAAAGCAUCUAAGCGUGAAGCCAACUCUAAGAUGAAUCUUCUCUAAGCUCUCUAGAAGACUACUAGUUUGAUAGGCUGGGUGUGUAAUGGAUGAAAGUCCUUUAGCUGACCAGUACUAAUAGAGCGUUUGGCUUAUCUUUAAUAAAGCAU
rnacentral:rRNA from 1 species